AUACGGAGGGUGCAAGCGUUACUCGGAAUCACUGGGCGUAAAGCGCGCGCAGGCGGUUUUUUAAGUUAGAUGUGAAAUCCUAUAGCUUAACUAUAGAACUGCAUCCAAAACUAUUAGACUAGAGUCUGGGAGAGGUAAGUGGAAUUAGUUGUGUAGGGGUAAAAUCCGUAGAGAUAACUAGGAAUACCAAAAGCGAAGGCAACUUACUGGAACAGUACUGACGCUGAGGCGCGAAAGCGUGGGGAGCAAACAGGAUUAGAAACCCCGGUAGUCC
rnacentral:rRNA from 1 species